rnacentral:rRNA from 1 species
AGCGGCAAAAGCUCAAAUUUGAAAUCUGGUACCUUCGGUGCCCGAGUUGUAAUUUGGAGAGGGCAACUUUGGGGCCGUUCCUUGUCUAUGUUCCUUGGAACAGGACGUCAUAGAGGGUGAGAAUCCCGUGUGGCGAGGAGUGCGGUUCUUUGUAAAGUGCCUUCGAAGAGUCGAGUUGUUUGGGAAUGCAGCUCUAAGUGGGUGGUAAAUUCCAUCUAAAGCUAAAUAUUGGCGAGAGACCGAUAGCGAACAAGUACAGUGAUGGAAAGAUGAAAAGAAC